UAACACGUAAGUAAUCUACCUUCGGAUGGGGAAUAACAGUCGGAAACGACUGCUAAUACCGCAUAAUGCAGCGGCAUCAUAAGAUGACAGUUGUUAAAGUAUUUAUACGUCUGGAGAGGAGCUUGCGGCAGAUUAGCUAGUUGGUAAGGUAACGGCUUACCAAGGCGACGAUCUGUAUCCGACCUGAGAGGGUGGUCGGACACACUGACACUGAAUAACGGGUCAG
rnacentral:rRNA from 1 species